GACGAACGCUGGCGGCGUGCUUAACACAUGCAAGUCGAACGGGAAGGCCCUGCUUUUGUGGGGUGCUCGAGUGGCGAACGGGUGAGUAACACGUGAGUAACCUGCCCUUGACUUUGGGAUAACUUCAGGAAACUGGGGCUAAUACCGGAUAGGAGCUCCUGCUGCAUGGUGGGGGUUGGAAAGUUUCGGCGGUUGGGGAUGGACUCGCGGCUUAUCAGCUUGUUUGUGGGGUAGUGGCUUACCAAGGCUUUGACGGGUAGCCGGCCUGAGAGGGUGACCGGCCACAUUGGGACUGAGAUACGGCCCAGACUACUACGGGAGGCAGCAGUGGGGAAUAUUGCACAAUGGGCGGAAGCCUGAUGCAGCAACGCCGCGUGCGGGAUGACGGCCUUCGGGUUGGAAACCGCUUUCGCCUGUGACGAAGCGUGAGUGACGGUAAUGGGUAAAGAAGCACCGGCUAACUACGUG
rnacentral:rRNA from 1 species